ACGGGAGGCAGCAGUGGGGAAUAUUGCACAAUGGGCGAAAGCCUGAUGCAGCGACGCCGCGUGAGCGAAGAAGUAUUUCGGUAUGUAAAGCUCUAUCAGCAGGGAAGAAAAUGACGGUACCUGACUAAGAAGCCCCGGCUAACUACGUGCCAGCAGCCGCGGUAAUACGUAGGGGGCAAGCGUUAUCCGGAUUUACUGGGUGUAAAGGGAGCGUAGACGGACAAGCAAGUCAGAUGUGAAAUGCGGGGGCUCAACUCCUGAACUGCAUUUGAAACUGUUUGUCUAGAGUGCCGGAGAGGUAAGCGGAAUUCCUAGUGUAGCGGUGAAAUGCGUAGAUAUUAGGAGGAACACCAGUGGCGAAGGCGGCUUACUGGACUGUAACUGACGUUGAGGCUCGAAAGCGUGGGGAGCAAACAGGAUUAGAUACCCUGGUA
rnacentral:rRNA from 1 species